rnacentral:rRNA from 1 species
CAGCCGUAAACAAUGUGCGUUAGGUGUGUCGGUAACCACGCGUUACUGAUGCGCCGAAGAGAAAUCGUGAAACGCACCACCUGGGGAGUACGGUCGCAAGGCUGAAACUUAAAGGAAUUGGCGGGGGAGCACCACAACAGGUGGAGCCUGCGGUUUAAUUGGAUUCAACGCCGGACAUCUCACCGGAUAAGACAGCUGAAUGAUUGUCAAUCUGAAGGUUUUACAUGACUAGCUGAGAGGAGGUGCAUGGCGUCAGUGACU